AAUUCCGUGAAUCAUCGAAUCUUUGAACGCACCUUGCGCUCUAUGGCAAUCCGUAAGCAUGCCUGYUUGAGUGCCAUG
rnacentral:rRNA from 1 species